rnacentral:rRNA from 1 species
CCUACGGGUGGCAGCAGUGGGGAAUAUUGGACAAUGGGGGGAACCCUGAUCCAGCCAUGCCGCGUGUGUGAAGAAGGCCCUCGGGUUGUAAAGCACUUUCAGUGAGGAAGAACGCCUGGUGGUUAAUACCCAUCAGGAAAGACAUCACUCACAGAAGAAGCACCGGCUAACUCCGUGCCAGCAGCCGCGGUAAUACGGAGGGUGCGAGCGUUAAUCGGAAUUACUGGGCGUAAAGCGCGCGUAGGUGGCUUGAUAAGCCGGUUGUGAAAGCCCCGGGCUCAACCUGGGAACGGCAUCCGGAACUGUCAAGCUAGAGUGCAGGAGAGGAAGGUAGAAUUCCCGGUGUAGCGGUGAAAUGCGUAGAGAUCGGGAGGAAUACCAGUGGCGAAGGCGGCCUUCUGGACUGACACUGACACUGAGGUGCGAACGCGUGGGUAGCAAACAGGAUUAGAUACCCGAGUAGUC